GACAGAGGUGCCAAGCGUUAGGCGGAAUCACUGGGCUUAAAGCGUGUGUAGGCGGAUUUGUAAGUACCUUGUGAAAUCCCACGGCUCAACCGUGGAACUGCUCGGUAUGCUGCUUAUCUUGAGCCACUUAGGGGCUACCGGAACAAAUAGUGGAGCGGUGAAAUGCGUAGAUAUCAUUUGGAACGCCAAUGGUGAAAACAGGUAGCUGGGAGUGUGCUGACGCUGAGACACGAAAGCCAGGGGAGGCGAACGGG
rnacentral:rRNA from 1 species